UACGGAGGGUGCAAGCGUUAAUCGGACUUACUGGGCGUAAAGCGCACGUAGGUGGUUAGAUAAGUCGGAUGUGAAAGCCCCGGGCUCAACCUGGGAACUGCAUACGAUACUGUUUGACUAGAGUACAGUAGAGGAUAGAGGAAUUUCCGGUGUAGCGGUGAAAUGCGUAGAUAUCGGAAGGAACAUCAGUGGCGAAGGCGUCUAUCUGGACUGAUACUGACACUGAGGAGCGAAAGCGUGGGUAGCGAACAGG
rnacentral:rRNA from 1 species